AUGGGAUGGAAAUAUUUGAAAGUAUGUAUAGUAAUAGAUAAAGAGAUGUUAAUAAAAACGGUCCGGUUCACCGUCACCGGUUCAAUUGUCUUUCUUUGGUUCGUUCUCUCUGUCUUCUUUCUUCUUCUUAUCUUUUUCUCUCUCUUUCUUACUUCCUUUCUUUCUUCACACCCGAUUCCAACGACGUCGUUCAGGUGCUUCUAUCCUUAUUCCCUUUUUCUUUUGUUUCCUCCAUUGAAUACCCCAUUCCCUCACUCUUAUUUCGAUUCCCUUUCACCUUUCUAAAUCAUUCUCACUUUUUUUUCGUUUCGGUUUCAUAUGUUAGGGUUCUUAAGUUUUGCGUCUAACUCUAUUCGUUAUUGAUCUUGAGGUUCUCAAGGUUCUGCGUCUAACUCUAUUUGAUACUGAUUCUGAGGAGGUGGAAAGGUUGGUUCAGUUAGGGUUUUCUCAGAAACUGGAAAGCACUGUUUACUCCUAGCUGAAAAAGGAGGAUUUUAGAUUAUUUAUUAAGGUUUGAUUCAAGACGGGGAAGAUAAUAGGUGUUGGUUAGAGAAUAAUGUGUAUACUGUGUGUCAUUCAGAAGUGGUCUCGCCGGGUUGCUACCAUGCUACCUUGGUUGGUUAUUCCGUUAAUUGGACUCUGGGCACUUUCACAGCUUCUGCCACCUGCUUAUAGGUUUGAGAUUACUUCACCGCGUCUCGCCUGUGUUUUCGUGUUGUUAGUUACUCUCUUUUGGUAUGAGAUUUUGAUGCCUCAGCUGUCUGCUUGGAGGGUUCGGAGGAAUGCACGACUUAGGGAGAGGAAGAGGUUUGAGGCGAUUGAAAUGCAGAAGCUAAGGAAGACAGCUACGAGGAGGUG
rnacentral:lncRNA from 1 species